AACGAACGCUGGCGGCAGGCCUAACACAUGCAAGUCGAACGGUUGUAGCAAUACAGCCGUGGCGCAUGGGUGAGUAACGCGUGGGAAACUGCCCAGUAGUACGGAAUAACAGUUGGAAACGACUGACAAUACCGUAUACGCCCUUCGGGGGAAAGUUUUUCGCUAUUGGAUGAGCCCGCGUCAGAUUAGCUAGUUGGUGGGGUAAUGGCCUACCAAGGCGACGAUCUGUAGCUGUUCUGAGAGGAAGACCAGCCACACUGGAACUGAGACACGGUCCAGACUCCUACGGGAGGCAGCAGUGGGGAAUAUUGGACAAUGGGCGAAAGCUUGAUCCAGCCAUGCCGCGUGAGUGAUGAAGGCCUUAGGGUUGUAAAGCUCUUUUGGCGGGGAAGAUAAUGACGGUACCCGCAGAAUAAGUUCCGGCUAACUUCGUGCCAGCCGCCGCAGUAA
rnacentral:rRNA from 1 species